rfam:Triticum aestivum genome assembly, contig: Triticum_aestivum_CS42_TGACv1_scaffold_579985_7BL
UAAAUACUCCCUCCAUCCGAAAAUACUUGUCAUCAAAAUGGAUAAACGGAGAUGUAUCUAAAACUAAAAUACGUCUAGAUACAUUUCCUUUUAUCCAUUUUGAUGACAAGUAUUUCCGGACGAGGGAGUAUUUG